rnacentral:rRNA from 1 species
UACGUAGGUGGCAAGCGUUGUUCAGAAUUACUGGGCGUAAAGCGCGCGUAGGCGGCUCUUCAAGUCAGGCGUGAAAGCCCCGGGCUUAACUCGGGAACUGCGCUUGAUACUGUCGAGCUAGAGUGUGGAAGGGGCGAUUGGAAUUCCGUGUGUAGCGGUGAAAUGCGUAGAUAUCUGGAGGAACAUCGGUGGCGAAGGCGGCAUCCUGGACCGGUAUUGACGCUGAGGCGCGAAAGCCAGGGGAGCAAACGGG